AUUGAACGCUGGCGGCAGGCCUAACACAUGCAAGUCGAGCGGAUGAGGGGAGCUUGCUCCCUGAUUUAGCGGCGGACGGGUGAGUAAUGUAUAGGGAGCUGCCCGAUAGAGGGGGAUACCAGUUGGAAACGACUGUUAAUACCGCAUAAUGUCUACGGACCAAAGUGUGGGACCUUCGGGCCACAUGCUAUCGGAUGCACCUAUAUGGGAUUAGCUAGUUGGUGGGGUAACGGCUCACCAAGGCGACGAUCCCCAGCUGGUUUGAGAGGAUGAUCGGCCACACUGGAACUGAGACACGGUCCAGGCUCCUACGGGAGGCAGCAGUGGGGAAUAUUGGACAAUGGGCGCAAGCCUGAUCCAGCCAUGCCGCGUGUGCGAAGAAGGCCUUCGGGUUGUAAAGCACUUUCAGUAGGGAGGAAGCGUUGUGUGUUAAUAGUACACAGCGUUGACGUUACCUACAGAAGAAGCACCGGCUAACUCUGUGCCAGCCGCCGCCGUAAAAC
rnacentral:rRNA from 1 species